GCUCUUGUGUUCUCAUUCAGAGGUUCAGCUGCUCGUGUUCUCAUUCAGAGGUUCAGCUGCUCUUGUGUUUCGUUCUCAUUCAGAGGUUCAGCUGCUCGUGUUCUCAUUCAGAGGUUCAGCUGCUCUUGUGUUUCGUUCUCAUUCAGAGGUUCAGCUGCUCGUGUUCUCAUUCAGAGGUUCAGCUGCUCUUGUGUUUCGUUCUCAUU